UGAGGCGGAACAAAGUGGCCGGGUAUUCUGCAGUUUAGCAAAUAGGGAUUUCAUACCUUAAAGAAAACUCACUGAGUUUUUGCUUAAACCCUUGUUCAUAGCGUGAAAUACAACACCGCCCGUUGGAGAAGUCGUGUUCGUUCGUGUUACGAGCUUGGGGUAACUGUGGUUCAGAUAGAGGAGUAACGCAGUUACAAACAAAGGUAAUCUCUAAAAGGUCACAUAAGAAUAGCUUUGAACUAAAGCGGAAUUCGAGAAAGCCAGGUUAACUCUUGAGAGAGGAGAGAGUUCACCCGAAUUCGGCCACGUUGCGAAAAUGAACGUGCUGUGGGCAAUCAUUUGGCUUCUUUGUCUCUGGUUUCUCGCUUGGCCUAUUGGAUUUUUUUGCGCUGGUUGGUACGUGUGCCUUUCACCAUUUGAAGCUUGCAUCGAUGCCAUGAAAGGAAUUACAGAGCUUUUAAUGCGUGGCGUCAAAUUACCGCUUGAAGUGGCCCAACACAUGGUCGAAGGAAAGCAAGGCUGGUAGUUGGAGCUCGAUGCCCCCCCUAGUUUAGAGUUUAUCUUUGUGGAGUACAAUAUAUGUAAGAGAAGAUGCACCUAUGGGACGUUAGAACGAUAGUAUAUGUAAAUGCUUGAUAUCUACAUUCGCUGAUGUAACAACUGCAGUGCUUUGAAAGGACACCGGUAUGGGAAUGAUACACUCGUGUUUCCUGAAACCAAUCAAAUUAUCUCAAGUGUAUCACUGUAAUGAAUUUAUCCUCAAAAGCCUACUGCAAACUUUUGUAGCUUUUAACUCUUCAAUCUUAAUGAGAUUAUCUGGACUAAAACAGGGCUUUAUAUCACCAUCUCAUUCUUAUUUUUUGCAUUAUUGGCGUAGCUUUUGAAUAAAAUUUACACAAAGACAA